UAAAGUCACCUGUCCCUUACGUACUUUG
rnacentral:sRNA from 1 species